CUGACACGCAUCAGUAGACAUCUCGGAGCUCCGGCUACGAACACCUCAGCGUUAGCUGUUAUUUUAUAAACUUAAGAAAUGUAUGCGCGGCUCACAACCCGCGGUUACGUUCGUGGCAGUAUGGGGGAUUCCAUCCCUGUCCCUCCGCUGUUGUUAAAUACGUGUUCUGUGUAAAACAGACGAAGCAGUUUCCGGAGUUUAAGCUAACUAGCUAGCUUCGCUUAGCUUAGCUUAACUUUGUGCAGUGUUCAGAUACCAUAACGUCUGUUAUUGGAACAGUAUGUUGAUGAUUACUGGAAUAACACGGAAAAAUCACGUUUAACUAAACUAGUAAUUGUCAACGUGACAGUGACCGAGUCUUUAAACUGUUUUCAUGGCGUCCAAGUGCAUCAUGGGAGAUUGGCGGUUGAGGAUCGUUUGGCCGUUCGGUGUUCGGAGUCGGUUUUCAAGGUGUCACCACUUUGUCCACAACAUCGUCCACGAUCGCAGAGACAUGGUCCAUGAUCGGAGAGACAUUGUUGAGGAUGAGGGAGACAUCGUCCACGAUCAGAGACAUUGUGCACGAUCGCAGAGUCAUUGUCCAUGAUCGCAGAGACCUUGUCAAAGAUGAGAGAGACGUUGUCCUUGAUCAGAGACAUUGUCCCAUGCUUCGUAGAGACCUUGCGAUAGAAUCGGCGGAGACGGGGGUCACCGAUUUGACGGCACUGCCCGCGAUCAUGGAGACAUUUGUUGAUGAUCACAGAGACACCAUCUAUGAUCUCAGAGACAUCGUCCACGAUCACAAAGACAUUGUCCAUGAUCACAGAGACUUUUUCCAUAAUCUCAGAGACAUUGUCCAUGAUCACAGAGACGUAGUCCACGAUCACAGAGAGUCUUUGUACAAUGAAGAAGUUCUUUGAGACCAGGACAGAGGCCUCCAGGUGUCUCCACUUCGUCAACGACAUCGUCCACGAUCGCAGAGACAUGGUCCAUGGUCGGAGAGACAUUGUUGAGGAUGAGGGAGACAUCGUCCACGAUCAGAGACAUUGUCCAUGAUCGCAGAGACCUUGUCAAAGAUGAGAGAGACGUUGUCCUUGAUCAGAGACAUUGUCCAUGAUCGCAGAGACCUUGUCAAAGAUGAGAGAGACGUUGUCCUUGAUCAGAGACAUUGUCCCAUGCUUCGUAGAGACCUUGCGAUAGAAUCGGCGGAGACGGGGGUCACCGAUUUGACGGCACUGCCCGCGAUCAUGGAGACAUUUGUUAAUGGUCACAGAGACACCAUCUAUGAUCUCAGAGACAUCGUCCACGAUCACAAAGACAUUGUCCAUGAUCAGAGACUUUGUCCAUAAUCUCAGAGACAUUGUCUGCGAUCACAGAGAGCCAUCGUAAAAUGAGGAAGUUCUUUGAGACCAGGACAGAGGCCUCCAGGUCGACUUGUUCAGCUGCUGCAGCUCGGACAGAAACACGAUCAUCACCUCACUGGUCAACAGGUGUCUCCACUUCGUCCACGACAUCGAGUCUUCAUACAGAAGUUGUUUGAGACCAGGACAGAGGCCUCCAGGAUUAAAACUUGAACCAUUAAACCACAGAGAGAAGAGACAGACAUGAAGACAUUUUCAGAAGGUCUUCAGCUGCAUCGUCUUCCCCUGCAGAGACAAGAACACGUUAACCACAGAGGUACAUGAACAGUGUAUUAGAUACAGGAAAACUACUGAAACUGCUUUACUGCACAGUACUUGAAAAGGUAAAUGAAAAUCUAAAUUUCAAGCCUAUGAUAGACAGUUUUUACCUUUCCUCGUGUUUCUUUUUAGAAAUUACUAAAUAAAAUACUUAGUUACGUAAAUAAAUUUUACUAAUAUUGUUUUAUUUUUAUGCUUUUGGAAUACUGACUGUUUUUCCUUUCUAUACCAUGACAUGCAGCUUAAGUUAAAGAAAUUGCUUUAAAACAACUAUCUUACCUUUGUCUUACACAGACAACCCACAAACUCUGUAGAUCUGUGAAACUUAUAUUUCCCUAUUUUUAAUACUGCAAUAUCAGUACUCUAAUUCAAUAUACUACUGUAUACAUAGCCUUGUUUGUAAUUUGUUGUUCCUGAAUUUCCCCCUUUUGAUAAAUGAUUAUCUUACGCUUACUCUCUUAAUAAAUACUUUUGAAUACUCAACAG